UGCCCAGCAACUCCUAUCCCUACCUCCUCGUGGUACUGGCCGGGGUACGAGUAACCUUAGAGAAGAUCGGGUAAUAUCAUGCUGUACCAGGCAGUUACUGAGUGGGGG
rnacentral:ribozyme from 1 species